UACGGAGGGUGCGAGCGUUGUCCGGAAUCAUUGGGCGUAAAGGGCGCGUAGGUGGCGGGAUAAGCGUGCGGUGAAAGCUUGGGGCUCAACCCCGAGUCUGCCGUGCGAACUGUUCUGCUUGAGCACUGUAGAGGCAGGCGGAAUUCCGGGUGUAGCGGUGGAAUGCGUAGAGAUCCGGAAGAACACCGGUGGCGAAGGCGGCCUGCUGGGCAGUUGCUGACACUGAGGCGCGACAGCCAGGGGAGCGAACGGG
rnacentral:rRNA from 1 species